rnacentral:lncRNA from 1 species
GAACAGGAACAGUGACGCUAAACGGCAAACAGUGGGAGCCGUUCCAGUAUCAAUAAGGAUUUUGACAAGGGAGCGAGUUUGUUUGCUUGGCUGCAAAGGCCUUGGAAUCCAGUGCAUUAGACACAAUUAUACACACUCCAUCUUCUGUGAGCGUCACUCCCAGCUGGCACGAGAGGUCUGAGACUGUCGGCACAUCAGGAAAAAUCCUCCUAAAAGCCUGGAGUGUGCAGGAUGAAUUCCCACCUUUGUUCUUGAGGGAACAGCACUAAGCACCACCAAAGGUAAAACGUGCUGCCUUUCCCUCUGGCAAAAUUCUGAACUGACUGUGGAAGGCCUCAGCUCAACCCCUGCAGGCAAGCAUCAGCAUCCUGGAAAUCACCACUCCAACUCUGCAGAGGGAUGUCAGCUCGUGAGAAGCGGUGCAGCGCGAAAGCUCUUGUGGCAGCUGUCUGUUAUGUCUGGGACGAUGGAAGUUAAAUUUGUUUGCUCACAGCUAUGCAAAUGCUGUCACUGAUGUGCUGCUCCCUUAACCUGUCUCAUGACUGGUGCCUUUCUGUCAACUUAAAGCAUGACCACCGACAAGAGGUAGCAAAUGAAAGCAGUGACAAUAUGGAGAGGAAGGGGCAAAGGCUGUGCAAAGAAAAACCAUGCAGAAGAAGGCCGGGUUUGCUGUACGYUCCUCGUACCAGUGAAAGGACUCCUGUCCCUAGUCCGGACUCACUGAUUCUGAGAGGCACAAACUCUGUACAUCUCCAGGAGAUCUUGGCUCUUUUGUACUGCUGCUGAAAAGAACUGUUCAUCUAGCUCAUGGCUUUUGAAGGGAGAGUCCUUUCAGCAAACUUUYGGAGGGAACAGCUGCUCAUAGUGAAAACAAGACUGUCCUGCUGAUCCAAGCUGAAAUGUGACAUGGAAGUGGGAUUUUUGACCUUGAAAGGUGCAAAGUCGCUCAAAGGAGGGACCCUGUGAAGAUUAAAAGUAACUAGAUCUUUAUAAUGCUUCUGCAACUGCUAGAGCUGGAUGAGUAUGUUGCAAAACAAAAGGCCAAAUCCUUAAAUAGUGCAAACUUGCACAAGUCUUUUGAUGACCUCUCAGCUGAGGAAC